UACGUAGGGUCCGAGCGUUGUCCGGAGUUACUGGGCGUAAAGCGCGCGCAGGCGGCGGUGUUGGUCCGGCGUGAAAGCCCCCGGCUCAACCGGGGAGAGUCGUCGGGGACCGCACCGCUUGAGGGCGGUAGGGGCUGGUGGAAUGCCUGGUGUAGUGGUGAAAUGCGUAGAGAUCAGGCAGAACACCGGGGGCGAAGGCGGCCAGCUGGGCCGUCCCUGACGCUGAGGCGCGAAGGCGUGGGGAGCGAACGGG
rnacentral:rRNA from 1 species